GAGAGAGAAGGAGAGAAAGAGAGAGAGAGAGAGAGAGAGAGAGAGAGAGAGAAAUAACACUCGGCGUAUGAAUGAAACGAGAAACAAUCACGAGGCAUUGGCCUUGACAGAAAAUUCGUCCUUUAACAAGUAUGUAAACAAAAAUCGCUUGGCUGACCGAGUGGAAGGGAGAAUUACAGAUUAAUACGACACUACAUUCGAAACAAGUCACGAUCUGUUUGCGUAACAGGCAAGACGAAAUUAUCGCUUUUAUUACGCAUUUUAAAAUACUUAACGAAAUUUAAUUUGCUUUUUAGUUUACCCCUUCUACCAAAUUGACAGCUUGGAAUAAAAAAGAUGUUUAAGCGGGACAAGAUGUUCUCAUGUUUUUCUUUUUCUUUUGAAGUUAAAGACAAAUAUCUUUUUUUUUCUUUUUUUUUUUCUGUUUUCUUUUUUUAUAAAAUAAAAAUUUAGUUGUUCAUCGUGCGCAAUGCGAUCUUAGAGUCAGUGUUUAUGCGAAAAAAUUUCGAGUUUCUCUAACCAAAUAGGUUGUCUUAAAAAUGAAAUAAAUUUGCUAAUUAAAUUCAGUGUUGUUCAACGAAGAAAAUUCUUCGGUCGUGUUAAUAAAUCAACGCAAGAAUUUCAUGUAAUAUUCUUGUUAAAACAAUUCGUUCGCCGCGUUGUGUGAAUUAAAAAAUUUUGCAUCUACAUCUUUAUCAACAAAUGUAAAGCUUCGUUUGGAUAAAAUUAUAUAUCAACCAACUCUAUCACAUCAUUACACCUACAUUGAGAGAGACAAGUGUUUUGGAGACAUCGCAGAACUUCUUAAUUAAAUGUUUCUAUGAAAACUGCAAAAUGACGCUUCUUUCUCUAUCUACUUGAAUAAACCCGAAUGGAGAACGAUGGAACGCAAAAUUCGCUAAGACGGCGGCGACCGUCGUUGUUACUGACCGUUCGCAAAAGGCUAAAAGAAAAAAAAAAACAAAAAAAAAACAAAAAAAAAACGAGAAUAAAAAAAGAGCUGAAAAACAAUGGUCCAUCGCGUAUGGAAGAAUAAGAGAGAAGAGGAAAGAUUCAACGAUGACGUAGGAGGAGAGAGAAAGGGAUAUUUAAUGUAGCAGCAUGCUUGGAGCUCGCGUUGGCGAGGGUGAGAGAGGGAGAGAGAGACAGGAAGAGAGAGAAGGGGAGAAGAAAAAGAGAAAGAUAUAGUGGUACAAGGAGAGGAGUGGGAGCAGAGCCAAGCUGUCUGCUGACUCUCGCGAUCUCCGAGUGCCGAGGAGGCGAGCGCUCCUACGACGGACAUUAAGUAAUAUCUCGAAGUCCUUUCUUCGAACGGCUUCAACACAGCCACACGACGUGCCGCCGACUCGUUUUUCAAGGACAAUGGAUUUAUCCGCGAACGCAUUCGCGCGGAAAAGGCGUCACGCUCGCAUUCCACACGUUGCAGCAUUAUGCCAACAACAUCAAAAGAGAGGCUGCUGUUGUUGCUGAUCUUUGGUCUACCUACCGUCGUUUCAACGAACGACCUGCGAAAAAGCGUCCUCGAGAUAAUAACGUCACUUAAGAUCUAGCGCUCUCUUUCUCUCUCUUUUUUUCUCUUUCCUUCUCUCACUCUCUUUCUCUCUUUCUUUCUCUCUCUUUUUCUCUCUUUCUCUCUCUGCACCCUAUCCUCCCCUAUCGUUUUCUAUCUCACAAGUCUAGCCGAGUCAAGGUACUCAGGUAAGCAGCAGCUCGACCCAAAUGGAAAGGAAAAUGUGGUUAGAGGAGAAGAGGCACUUUCGAGAAGAGGACCUCCCACGCGCUCCUACAAAAUGCCUUUCCUCUGACCCCUCCAAUUCAAAUUCUUUUAUCUCUCUACUUUAUACUUUGUUUCUCAUACGUAACUUACAAUGUAUAUCUUUCUACGUCUGACCCAAAAAAAAUGAAAUUUUUUAUAACUUUUUCUUUCAUUUUUAGGGAUAAUAAUGAGAUCUAGGAAACUUCGUGCACACAAUCUAUCGAUUAUCAUUUCUACAUGAAAGAGAAGAAGAUACGCGCUUGUUGUGUAAAGUCAUCAACACGGAGGGAGGAGGAUCGGCAGGAGUAGGAGCAAGAACAGGAGCAGGAGCAGGAACAGGAGCAGGAGUAGCAGCAGCAGCAGCAGCAGCAGCAGCAGCAGCAGCAGCAGCAGAAGCAGCAACAGCAACAGCGAGCACGUCAUCGUCCAAAGUAAUCUGGUCCGUGAGAAGAGAUACUAAACGGACAACGACGAAGAUGACGACAAAGACGACGAUGAUGAUAAGAUGAAGGAAGUGGGUCGAAGUGGGAUCUUGGACGAAGAUAAAAAUGAAAAAGAUAUUCGUAAAAACGAGAUAGAUAGAUAGAUAGAUAGAGACAGAGAAAGACAGAGAAGGAGAGAGAGAGAGAGAGAGAGAGAGAGAGAAAGGAUUCUUCCUACCGUCCGCCAUCCUCCCGUUAUAUUAUCCUCUUCCUCUCGUACUCGCAAACGCGUUAAAAAUCGUUCGCUCACCUAACUCUCUUCAAUCGUAAGUCCGUAGUACGAGCAGCCACGACAUCUCAACGAGUCCCGUACACCGCAAACUCGUAAGCUCACUCUCUCGCACUCGUAGGCACACUCAGUACCACCACUGUAAACUUUUCUCUCUCUAUCUCUCUCUCUCCCGUUCUCUCUCUCUCUCUCUCUGUCUCUCUCUCUCUCUCUCUCUCUCUCUCUCUCUCUCUCUCUCUCUCUCUCUCUCUCUCUCUCUCUCUCCACGCGAAUCUCCCACGGGCCGAAUGUAAAAAGCGCGAAAAGGCACUUUCGAACGAGUGAGAAGGAACUCGGUGGUGGUAUUCCUCUUCUUAUUAUUAUUCUUCGUAUCUUUUCUUUUCUUCUCUUGUGUCUUCUUUUUUUAUUCGAAAAUCUCCGAGAGUCUCAAUUAUUUAUAUUCCACUCCCUUUUCCACGGAGCAGCAGCAUGCUACUACACAACUAUGGGUUUCCAGCCGUCGUCUCUCCACAGGUAUCUCUCUCUCUCGCUCUCCCUCCCUCACUCCCUCCUCUUUCUCCCGUUCUCCUCCUCCUCCUCCUCCUCCUCCUCCUCCUCCUCCUCCUCCUCCUCCUCCUGCCCCCACACCCACCGAUACACACUGGCACGCACGUCGGUUAUAUUCCUCUGCGAGUCGAGCGAGCGAACGCUUGAAUCGUAUAUCGCGAGUCAAGAGUCGUAACGACGAACCUGUCGUAUCCGCGAUUCCUACGUGUCUCUCUCUCUCUUUCUCUUUCUCUCUCCCUCUCUCUCUGUUUGUCUGUCUCUCUCUCUCUCUCUCUCUCUCUCUCUCUUUCUCUUUUUCUAUCUAUAUCUGUCUCUAUCUAUCUAUCUAACGCGUUUUCACCUGCGUCCGUAUAAAUAUAGAUGCGUAAGUCGAUCCGGCAGCCCGAGUUUCACCGCGACGUGUGACGACAUUCGUAUAUAAGAGGGAGGAAAAGAGAGAGAGAGAGAGAGAGAGAGAGAGAGAGAGAGAGGAAGAGAGAGAGAGAGAAAGAAAAAGAGAAAGAGAGGAAGAUAGAGAGAUUGACAUAAACGUAUCUCUCGAAAAGGAUUGUAACUUAAAAUCGCGAUCUUAGAAAUUUGUUGAGAACGAAAAACGAUGACGAUACGUCGUCACGAAGCAAUGUGUCGAGAGCUGUGGCCCCUUCGAUCCAACCUACUCAGGCCCGUUCGCCAACAGCUUCGUCCUCCUUCCCCUUUUCCUUCUCUUCACUACUCUACUCUCUGCUCUUUCCCUCCUUCCUUCCUUGACCACCUCUGUUGCCGCCGGCCGGCCCGCCGAGCGGAUCCGAUCCCCUCCGUUAAAACCCUCCCCGAUCCUCUUGGCGGCCCCUCGCCGUCUCCGACAAGACCAAUCGUCUCAUCUUCUUUCUUCAACCACCAACUCUUCUCCUCUCUCUUUCUCUUUUUUUUCUCUCUUUCUUUCUAACAGCUCCUUCAAAAUCUUCUCUAUGGUAUCGGCCAAACGUUUUACGAAUGAAUCAUCUCCUCUUUAACUUAAUAUGUAACAUGGUGAAUAUGAGAUCGAGUUACAUUCUUCAAAAUAUGAGGUACUAAAUAUGUGAGAAAAUAUUGAUCUUAUAUUCAAUAAAUUGUGUUAGUAUUCAUUUUGGUUUUUUUUUUAAAGUAAUUAAGGAUUUUUUUUAUUUGUAAUUUGUAACUUUUUUAACGUUAUUGGUGUAAAGAUACUUCUUCUUUUUUUUUUCUCUCCUAGAUAUUAUCUUUAAAUUAGGAAGCGAUUUCUAUUUAUUCAUAGAUGGCGUGUUCAGGAUUUUCUAUGUGUACAUGGAGAAAGUUAUGGGGUUUUCCGUCUAGAUAUUCUUUCCUUUGUACGACUCCUUCCUAUGAAUCAGUUCAGUAUGACUAAUGUCAAUCUUUAAACAACGGUACUAUUGCUUCUAUGAUAUCUACUUAGGUACUUAUGUCUGGCUACGGUCUAUUUGACGAACUAUCGUCUAGGUGCAGAUGUGACGAAGAAGUAAACAUUGUGUGUCUUGUGAAGAUUCAUAAUUUUAUAGAUUUUUGUUCGACACGAAUCGUUUUAAUAUAGCCGAGAUAUUUGUAGAAGAGAAUUCAAUUAAUAAGAUAAUUUAUAAUAAUAAAAACAAUGCAUGAAAAAAGUAAUGAACUAAAUCACUAUUAAAGGAUAGUUCUUCUGAUGUAGAAUUGAAAGUCUAUGUAAACUUUGAAUCUAUCCCAUAAAUUUGAAAAAUAAAUUUAUGAUACUUUUAAGAAGAUAUACAGAGAUUGUUUUACUUUUGCAAAAAAUAAGGAUAGAGUUAUCAAAAUUAUUAGACUGUAGUAACAAGAGAAUAAGACUUAUAAGACUGAAAUAUCUAAUGAAAGACUAUAAUAGAUUUCUUUCUAUUCAAUCGAUGGACGACUACCAUUUAGUUGGUCCUGUACCAAUGCUUGCUCCAGUUGUUGAUGCUAUGAAAGGAUUCGUCGAAGCAGCUAGGAGGAAAAAUUUAGUUAGAUAUAAAAUUUAGUCUAUCCUCAUUAAGAGAAUGAAUCAAAUAUUAUACAUAUAUAUAUGUAUAUAUAUAUAUAUAUAUGAGGUAUAAGCAACUUAAAAAGGGAUAGCUUAUGUGGAUGAGAUAAAGGUUGUAAUCAAUAUAUGCAAAUUACAACUAAGUCUGUUUAAAGCUGUGCCUUUAUAAGAUUUCUCCUUAUAUACAAAAGUAAACUGUUUUAUAAGUACUACUAGGAAUGAUUGAUUAAAUUGUUUUUUUUCUCUCUCUCUUUCUUUUUUUUUCUUUUCUUUUUUUUUUUUAAUGGCAUAAAAAAAAUAAUAUAACUCAUAUUUUAUCUUAAAAACGAUAAAAACUGAUCAAGAAGUAAAUUAUUAAAAGAAUGAUUAAAAACAAGAUACAUUUGAUAUUACUUCAACGGUAAUUCUUAUGACAUUAAUUAUUUUAUCGUUAUUAGGAAGAAUAUAUAUAAUUACAUGCAAAAAAAAGAACAUUUUUCUAUCGAUAAUUUCUUUGGCAGCGAUAGUUCGUGUAAUAAUGCUAGUACUAUCUAAAUACAGAAAGUAUUUUGAUAUAUAUUUUGUUGUUAUAUAUUAUUUAUAAAAGUCAAUUGUGCGUUUAAGCACGUUAAAGAUAUAGACAAUAUUCAAACGCUUAAAUUAUCGCUGACCAAAGGUAGAAAAACAAGACAAAGAAAAUAAGUACAAAUAAAAUAUAAAGAAUCGCAAAAAUUAUAAGAAAAUUAAAUAUUUUUUUUUUGGUUGCUUCGUUUUAAUUCGCCCUUCUUCUUUGACGGAUUAAAAAAAUAAUAAUAAUCAAAAUUUAUUAUAUAUAUUUACAUAUAAUUAAGGAGAACUUAUAUAUGAUGAUUACGCAUUAAGAGAUUAUUUUUGUCUAUGAAUACAUAAAUCAAAAAAGCCGCGAAGAGGAAAGAAAAAUAUUUAAAUAGCCAAGUAUGUAUGUACGUCUAAAGUAAGAGAAUAUAAACGCAAACGAAAUCGUGUAUAUGAAUAUAGAGAUAAAUAAAUUCAGGCAAACAAAUACGUAAACACAAU